GCUAGAUUAAAUUGAUGUAUGCCAUUUGAAUAACAAUAAUACUGUGACUAUGUGGGAUGGCUUUGGACACAUGUUAGCGUGAGACUCGACCGCAUCCGUCAUCCCAUCUGUCUGUAGCAUCUUUCUUUUCUUUUUUUUCUUUGCCUUCUCGUCUCUUUGUUGCUUGUGGCUCUCCACUCUCUAAUCUGGUCCGAUGCCGCAACCCCUCCUUUCCUCCGUAUCAUCCACUAGGGACAGUGGUGGCUACCAGCGAGCGGCCCCUCCUCCUUUCCUCCACGCCAUUCACUAGCGACGAUGGCGGCUACUAGUGAGCAGCCCCUCCAUUUAUCCCCUUCCUCCUUUCCUCCGCGCCUCCAUUAUCCCCGCAACUCUCCAUGCCAUCUAGAGAAGAGGGGUGACGACGAGGUUUUUCGGCGAGCCUCCCUACUUCCCGGCUUUUUAGGCGUUGUUUAGUUCCCAAAAAAUCAUGCAACAUUUUUCAGAUUUCGAGUCACAUUGAAUCUUGCGACACAUGUAUGGAGCAUUAAAUAUAAAUAAAAGAAAUAAGUAAUUGCAUAGUUUACCUG
rnacentral:lncRNA from 1 species